GAUGAACGCUGGCGGCGUGCCUAAUACAUGCAAGUCGAGCGAACAGACGAGGAGCUUGCUCCUCUGACGUUAGCGGCGGACGGGUGAGUAACACGUGGAUAACCUACCUAUAAGACUGGGAUAACUUCGGGAAACCGGAGCUAAUACCGGAGAAUAUAUUGAACCGCAUGGGUCAAUAGUGAAAGACGGUUUUGCUGUCACUUAUAGAGGGAUCCGCGCCGCAUUAGCUAGUUGGUAAGGUAACGGCUUACCAAGGCAACGAUGCGUAGCCGACCUGAGGGGGUGAUCGGCCACACUGGAACUGAGACACGGUCCAGACUCCUACGGGAGGCAGCAGUAGGGAAUCUUCCGCAAUGGGCGAAAGCCUGACGGAGCAACGCCGCGUGAGUGAUGAAGGUCUUCGGAUCGUAAAACUCUGUUAUUAGGGAAGAACAAAUGUGUAAGUAACUAUGCACGUCUUGACGGUACCUAAUCAGAAAGCCACGGCUAACUACGUG
rnacentral:rRNA from 1 species